ACAACUUUUAACAACGGAUCUCUUGGCUCUCGCAUCGAUGAAGAACGCAGCGAAAUGCGAUAAGUAAUGUGAAUUGCAGAAUUCAGUGAAUCAUCGAAUCUUUGAACGCACCUUGCGCUCUCUGGUAUUCCGGGGAGCACACCUGUUCGAGUGUCA
rnacentral:rRNA from 4 species